UGGGGGAUAUUGCACAAUGGGCGAAAGCCUGAUGCAGCGACGCCGCGUGGGGGAUGAAGGCUUUCGGGUUGUAAACCUCUUUCGCUAUCGAACAAGGCCCGCUUAGGGUGGGUUGAGGGUAGGUGGAGAAGAAGCGCCGGCUAACUACGUGCCAGCAGCCGCGGUAAUACGUAGGGCGCGAGCGUUGUCCGGAAUUAUUGGGCGUAAAGGGCUUGUAGGCGGCUUGUUGCGCCUGCUGUGAAAACGCGGGGCUUAACUUCGCGCGUGCAGUGGGUACGGGCAGGCUUGAGUGCGGUAGGGGUGACUGGAAUUCCAGGUGUAGCGGUGGAAUGCGCAGAUAUCUGGAGGAACACCGAUGGCGAAGGCAGGUCACUGGGCCAUUACUGACGCUGAGGAGCGAAAGCAUGGGUAGCGAACAGG
rnacentral:rRNA from 1 species